UCAGCCCUGAGCUUGAUUGUUUCUGGCCACUUAUUCUUCCCAGGUUUUUCUUUUUUAUGUUGUCGGCACUUCAUUCUAUGAACUUGCCUCUUAGAACCGCCUUCAUUGUGUACCAUAGGUUUGUGGAGUUUCCAGAAACUCUGUGACCUGAGAUUUUGUAACUGAUUGAAUGAGAAAGAAGAUAUGAAAUCUCUGCUGCCCUCCAUUAACCCAGAUGUUAAAAAGAUUUGCAAAAUAUGAAAUAAUUCCACUCUUUUCGCUGAUUAUGUUUGUGUUACUGGAAAGAAGUCUUCACACCACUGGAAUAUAAAGGGUCUUUCUUCAGAGCUCCUCUCAUGACUGACAGAACCCUUGACCAUACUACCCCAGGAAGCUAACUCUCCAGAACUGCAAGCAACUAGAGCUUCAAGAAAGUUUGGCUUAUUUGGUCUAACAGACUGAAAUUUUUAGAGAAUUAUAGAUUAUGCCAAAUUUGAAUGAUAAAGAGAAAUCACUGACACUCGGUAGGAACCACAGUAGCUGGGCACGGUGAUGUUCACCUGUAAUCCCAUCCUUCCAGAGGCUGAAGCCAGAGCUUCAAGAGUUUGGACUAUACAGAGAGAUUUUUCUCAGAAAAGAUAAAGGGACUGGAGAGAUGGCUCAGUCGGUAAAAUGCUUGCCAGACAAGCAUGAGGAUCUGAGUUUCAUUCUUGGUACCCACACAAAACAUCUGGUAUAGCAAUGUGAACAUGUAAUCCCAGUACUGAGGAGGUGGAGACAAGAACAUCUUGGGGCUUACUGGAUAAUCAGUCUAACCAUAUCAGCAAGCUCCAGGGGGAUGCUGCUGGAAUUAACAUUCUGAAGACGCUGCUUUAGUUCUGGAUAAUUUUCCCAGAGUUGGGACAAAAGGCUCACCACGCACUCUUCUGCUUACCUCAAGUCUAAGAACAGAUCUGUCUUGAUUUAAGGAGAAACAAAUUCUCCUAGCUUCACAUUUCUUUAUAACCAGCACCCUGAGGAAGUUGUGCCGUGGUUCCUCAAACUCUACAACCUCAUGAAGAGGAUCAUGAUGUGAUGCACCAUCCCCCUGUAAUUAGCACAUACAGGAUCCUGGGAGAAGGUCCUCUCUUUGCAGACACCCAGAACAGGAAGUAAAGAAGUACAGGUUCCCUACCAGGACCCUCCCCACCAGCCAGGAGGCCACUUGGUUGCAAGAUUCUACUGAGGAUGAUCUGGAAUGUGAGAUGGAAACUGAGGAAUCUGAGUAAUAAACCCAAGGCAACGUGAGCCUCAAAACUCAGACAAAAACACAUUAUCUGUAAACCGAGUGCUACUCCAUGUAAAAUCUUGUUUAAAAAAAAAUCCCUAUCACUGCCUGAAAAAGAAAACCCAGUUUCCACACAAGCCCGUGCAGUUACCAGCAGCAAGGGAAAUGGAAAAACUGCUAUCAAAAACAAAAAUAAAAAUCCUGCCAGCCAGUGAGUGUCGACCUGGUAGAACAGCCCUAGGAGGGAAAAAAAAAUCACUGCAAGGGAUGCCCUAUUUCACAUCCCCUGCCAACCAGAUUGUCACAUAAACUCUUCCAACCAGAAUCCUAGAGCUCAUGACGCUCCUCGCCACAAACACUGACGAAUGGAGACCAGGGCGGAACCUUUAAAUUGUGCUUUAUUCAGAGACCGAGUGAGCUGAGAAGACAGUGUAGUAAAACCAGCUCUAGAAAAAAUGGGCUUACGCAUCGUCUCCAGCCAGCAGACUUUACAGGUGGGAGAGGCACGGCGAUAGCAGUUAUUUAUCCCAGAGCUGAGUCUUAGUCUCCUAAUGAGGUGGUCGGCCACACUCCUGAGAUUUAUGGUGGCCAUGUCAUCCCUUCCACUCUUUGCUUUGGAGGUACUGAGUCUAGUAAGCACAGGCUGGUACCGCCUCACACGCCUCCAGGAGCACCCGGGCUGGGAGGUUAACUCAAAACAAACCAACCCUUAGCUGUGUUUAUGUGCGAUUAGUAACAUGUCUGUGCAGAUGCUUUCUACAAUACGAAGCACACAUGUGUUUAUAAAGUGGGAUAUAAAACUGCACUUAUCAGUCCCUCCUGUUCCCCCAUCACUCAGGUAUAGAUAUUCUGGGGCCAGUGGGUGGAAACUCCCUGAAUUCCCAUCGUAAUAACCCUACGUGUGCUUACAAUAUCCUGAGAACUUUGUGUGCACUCUUUAGCGUCCUCAGAAGGCUGGGUGAUGCAAUGGAUGAGAUUUUUCCAGAAGAUCAUCUGGCAGCAUUAUUCAGGAGGUACUGAGAGCGGGGAGAUUCGAAGCAGAAAAUGCUGCUGGGAGGCAGGAACCGUGUUUAGGCCUCAGGGAGGCAAAACGGAGAGGUGAAGGGUAGAAGAAGGUGGUAGCGUUAGGCUGAGGAGCAGAGGGGCUAGCUCUGGUCUCACUCACCCACAGCACAGAGAAUUCUUCUGCAAGCGAGAGUGAUAUGGUGUGAACAAAAAGCGGGGUCAAUGGAAGGAUACUGAGGAAGGAGAGCAGGGAGAUAAGAAACAGGAGCGAAUGGGGAAAAUCACACGUGCAUGAAAAGGCCAUCAGGAGAUCUGCUACUUCUUUAUGUUAAUUAAAUAAUAAAAGUUGCGUCGGGAGGUUGUGUGUGUUGGGAAGACCAGUUUGGCAAUCCACUUAAGUGAACCACAAUGCUUGCAUGGUUGAAACUGAGAAGGAAUUCUCCUGGGUUCAAGACCAUUUACAGUUCGGUUGUUUGUUUUUCUUCGGUUCGGUUUGGUUUGGCUAAGCAUGGUACGUCGUCAGAGUGGCAAGUGGAAGAUGAUUUACGGGAAUAAGAGCCUGAGACAUCAGUCCUCCUCCAGGGCAGCAGCAAUGGGGAUGAGGACAAACAAGCUCCUCCCACUCCCUCUUAAAGCCCUAGUCGGGUUUGUACCAGAUACCACCAGUGGCCACAAACUGGCAACACGGCUUGACUUCACCAAGGGUUAAGUUCAAGCAAAAAGGAUUUGUCUUCUAGGUGUCCAAAUACCAGUGAAGCAGAAUCUUUCUGAGACACACUGCUUACUGUAAAGUAGCUAAUAUUCAUUCAAUGUGGCAGCCUGAAUAAGAAGGGUGCCCACAGGCUCAUAUAUUUGAAUGUUUGGUCCCCAGUUGGUGGAACUGUUUGGGAAACAUUAGAACACGUGGCUUGUUGUGUUCUCUUACACACCUCCAAAGUUCCCGCACUUGGUCCCUGAAGGACUGACAGUGCCAUGUAAGGUUAAUGGGAAGGGCUUUUUUUCUCAUUCCUAUCAACAGGCAACUGUUUAUUCAUUAAGAGCUUGCAAGCUCAAACUCAAAGGCUGUGGUCCAGCAGCAGCUUCCACAGUGCCCCCUGUAGUGGCAAGCGAGUCCAUGGUCAGGGACCGGGAGGGAAGCCCUAGCUUUGCAGGUCAGGGCCUCGAAGUCAAUGGGUGCAGCACGAGCAAAGUCCAAGAGAGCUUUCCGGCACGGCUGGUGUUUGCAGUUAUUAGUGACGCACAGGUUAGGGGAAACUGAGUCAUAUCUCAGCCUCCUUCCCAUUUCCUGGGAAUCUGGAUAUACCGUCAUCACACGCUCUCAGACCUGCGGAAGGAUGACAUAUGGCAAGCCUGGUACAGCCUCUUAAAAGAGAAAAGGCCAAGAAGCAGAAGAAAGCCAGGAGUUAAUCAACGACAGAGCUAAGGGUAAGGUUCACCUUGCACUUCUGGACUUCCACACAGUGUCCAUCCCAGAAGGCAGUGAGGUUGUUCUUGAUUUCAUCUCAUUCCUCACAACUUGAGGAACAGCUGCGCUGGGGCCUGAUGGCCACUCUGAGCAGCUUCCAACAGCUAGGUUUGCAGUUAGAGCCCGAGCUACACCUCCUAAACUAAUGAGUUUAAACUAACUUCACUACGUGGUCACCAGGCUGUUGUUAGGUCCUGAAUAUCAACUACCCGGAUGACCUCUAAGACCGGCUCUGGGAUGGUUAAUACAGACAGUCCACAGUCCACCUGACAGACCUGGUAUCAACUAGCAGACAAACCUUUGACUGUAUCUGGGAGGGCAUUUUACACUGGAUUCCGUGAAUGGGGCGGGGG